CCUACGGGUGGCUGCAGUGGGGGAUAUUGCACAAUGGGGGGAACCCUGAUGCAGCGACGCCGCGUGGGUGAAGGAGCGUUUCGGCGCGUAAAGCCCUAUCGGCAGGGAAGAAGGAGGACGGUACCUGACUAAGAAGCCCCGGCUAACUACGUGCCAGCAGCCGCGGUAAUACGUAGGGGGCAAGCGUUAUCCGGAUUUACUGGGUGUAAAGGGAGCGUAGACGGCAGCACAAGUCUGGAGUGAAAUGCCGGGGCUUAACCCCGGAACUGCUUUGGAAACUGUGCAGCUAGAGUGCAGGAGAGGUAAGUGGAAUUCCUAGUGUAGCGGUGAAAUGCGUAGAUAUUAGGAGGAACACCAGUGGCGAAGGCGGCUUACUGGACUGUAACUGACGUUGAGGCUCGAAAGCGUGGGGAGCAAACAGGAUUAGAUACCCGAGUAGUC
rnacentral:rRNA from 1 species